rnacentral:rRNA from 1 species
UGCCAGCCGCCGCGGUAAUACGGAGGGUGCAAGCGUUAAUCGGAAUUACUGGGCGUAAAGCGCGCGUAGGUGGAUUGGUCAGUCAGAUGUGAAAGCCCCGGGCUCAACCUGGGAACUGCACCUGAUACUGCCAAUCUAGAGUACGGUAGAGGGUAGUGGAAUUUCCUGUGUAGCGGUGAAAUGCGUAGAUAUAGGAAGGAACACCAGUGGCGAAGGCGACUGCCUGGACCGAUACUGACACUGAGGUGCGAAAGCGUGGGGAGCAAACAGGAUUAGAUA